UAGCGCUAGGGGAACCUGGCGCUGGAUCACCUCCUUN
rnacentral:rRNA from 1 species